GAGAUUUGAGACUCUUGUUUCAGUUUUAGAAAAUUUCUUGCUUCAAUUUGUUGAUGGUGUGCUUCCCAUCGAUUUGGAUCUCACAGUUGUUCUUUGGCUGUUUCAUUAAUCAAAGAUAUGUUAUCUCAGAAAAGAUUUUGUAAAAUAGUUUUUUCUAUAUGAGUCUGUUUUAAUUAAUUUAUUGAAAAGAUGAAUUCCAAUCUUUUCUAUAUGGGUUUCGUAAGGACCACGCAAACACGGUUGGUUUUGAGAAAGGCACAUCGGUGAUAUUGGAUGAUUCAUGGUUCUCUAAGGACAUCUUUUUGCAUUGUUUGUGCAAGGUAGAAUUCUUCUGCUGUUUGAACAUAUAGAAAUGCUGGGAAGGUUCAUAGUAAGGCUGAUUGAAGAGGAGAUUUGGGAGAAAAGUGCAAGCAUUGUUCACAUGUGCAAGAUCCAGGAGUUCUUUUCAUUGGUCCUAGAAGCCCAUGUCAUGGAUGGUGAUCUUUUGUCCUGGCUAAUUCGCAAGAAGAUGCUAAAGACCGCAAAGGAAGGCAUAAAACAGCAAGACAACAACUCGGAAAUCUAUGGCAAGAUGCAAGCAGUGUUCAUAGAAAUGGACAAAAGCCCCGCUGUCCGUGAAGCUUGGGAGGCGGCAUCAGAAAGUGGUAGACCAGAUGUUGAGUUGAUUCUUGGCGGCUGAGGUUGAAGGCCAAAAAAUUACAUGGUUAACACCACAUGCCCUACGUCAAGUCUUGACUGAUGAUGUGGACUUCAAUGUCAUGCUAACCUUUUUGGAAUUCUAUGAGGAGUCAUUGGCCGAGGCAUCAUAAUCUGAGACAUGACCUUCAAGAACACAGCAGACCCCAAAAUGUCACAAGCAGUCGCCUUCCGAUCAAACUCUGACCUCUCAGUCUAUUAUCAGUGUGGAUUCCAUGGUUACCAAGACACUCUCUAUGCUCACUUUCUUUUGAUUGAAUGAAGGAUUGUAAUUAAUUCACUAUUGAAUGAAUGAUUGUAAUCGACUGAAUGAA